ACCAACAGGUAUAUGAGAGGACCAAGU
rnacentral:piRNA from 1 species